CGGGAGGGUGAGUAAUGUCUGGGAAACUGCCUGAUGGGAGGGGAUAACUACUGGAAACGGUAGCUAAUACCGCAUAACGUCGCAAGACCAAAGAGGGGGACCUUCGGGCCUCUUGCCAUCGGAUGUGCCCAGAUGGGAUUAGCUAGUAGGUGGGGUAACGGCUCACCUAGGCGACGAUCCCUAGCUGGUCUGAGAGGAUGACCAGCCACACUGGAACUGAGACACGGUCCAG
rnacentral:rRNA from 1 species